AGCUGAGAGGUGGUGCAUGGCCGUCGUCAGUUCGUACUGUGAAGCAUCCUGUUAAGUCAGGCAACGAGCGAGACCCACGCCCACAGUUGCCAGCGUACUCUCCGGAGUGACGGGUACACUGUGGGGACCGCCGCUGCUAAAGCGAGGAAGGAAUGGGCAACGGUAGGUCAGUAUGCCCCGAAUAUCCCGGGCUACACGCGAGCUACAAUGGUUGGUACAAUGGGUAUCUACCCCGAAAGGGGACGGAAAUCUCCUAAAACCAAUCUUAGUUCGGAUUGAGGGCUGCAACUCGCCCUCAUGAAGCUGGAAUCUGUAGUAAUCGUGUCUCAAAUGGCACGGUGAAUAUGUCCCUGCUCCUU
rnacentral:rRNA from 1 species